rnacentral:ncRNA from 1 species
UUACUCAUUGGAAGCUAAGACUUGUCAUUCCUUAACUGGUCAUCAAUGGAGUGAUAGUGAGCUAGUGAUGAAACCGGCCAAGAGUAA